AUGUGAACUAAGAAUGGACAGUCCUGGGGAAAACGUCUGCUGUGAUUGGUAGAUGUGAAAAUUUAGGGGAGGUGACAUAGGAGAAAUUUCUCUUUAAAAGGAGCUGGCUCUCUGAACUUAGUUGGAGUUCAGACUAGUUGGAGUUCGUAGUUCAGUUUGGGAGUUCGCCAUGGAGGUUGGAGUAUGGAGUUAGUUUGGAGGAGCUGGGUCUCUGAACUCAGUUCAGGAGUUGAGGAUUUCAGUGAAGCACUGGAGUUUUGCUUGGGACAAAUCUUGUGAUUUGGAGCUGUGGAAGCAGAAACAAGAGAAGAUACACAGACCCACAAGACUCCUGAGUCUUGGUCUCAAGGUAAGAAAGAGUUACACACAAGUAAUUGCUGUAGUAGGGAAGCAGGGGGAUCUAUUCAUAGUUCCAAAGUGGAAAAGAGGGAUUAUGGUUGCUUCCAUACCAGAGAACAGCCUGGGAAAGUAUUAAACACACCUCUCCUUACAUUAUAUCACCUUGAAAGAAUUGAACACAGAUAGAUCCCCAGAGAGCAAACUCUGAAGGCAGCUGUAAAAGGAACCUGAAGGUUGGUAUAAUACUUCAUUCACCACAGUAACAGAGACUAUUUCUAAGAGGGUUUUUUUUAAUUAAUAUACAAUAAAAAGGUUGGAAAAUGAGCUCUCCCCCCCA
rnacentral:lncRNA from 1 species